rnacentral:pre_miRNA from 1 species
UAGCUUUGUCUUAAGUCAAACUUCUUCAGUUUGACCAAGUUUAUAGAAAAUCUACUAACAUUUACAAUCUCAAAUGAGAAUAUUAUGAAAAUAUAUAUAAUGACAGCUUUAAUAAAACUAACUUGGAGUUCUAGAUGUUAGUAGAUUUUUUUUCUAUAAACUUGGUCAAACUUGAGAAAAUUUGACUUAGGACGAAGUUAG